GACGAACGCUGGCGGCGUGCCUAAUACAUGCAAGUAGAACGCACAGUUUAUACCGUAGCUUGCUACACCAUAGACUGUGAGGUGCGAACGGGUGAGUAACGCGUAGGUAACCUGCCUGGUAGCGGGGGAUAACUAUUGGAAACGAUAGCUAAUACCGCAUAAUAUUCAUUAUUGCAUGAUAAUUAAUUGAAAGGUGGAAUUGCACCACUACCAGAUGGACCUUCGUUGUAUUAGGUAGUAGGGGAGGUAACGGCGUACCUAGGCGACGGUACAUAGCCGACCUGGGAGGGUGGACCGCCCAACCGGGACUGGGGCACGGCCCAAACUUCCACGGGGGGCCGCCAUAGGGGAUCUUUGGCCAAUGGGGGAAGUCUGACCGGGGAACGCCGCGGGGGUUGAGAAGGGUUUCGGGUCGGUAAGCUCCGUUGUAAGGGAAAAACGAGUGUGGGAAUUGAAAGUUCACGCUGUGACGGUACCUAACCAGAAAGGGACGGCUAACUACGUG
rnacentral:rRNA from 1 species